AUUCUAAAAUGAGAGUUUGAUCCUGGCUCAGGACGAACGCUGGCGGCGUGCCUAAUACAUGCAAGUCGAACGCUUUUUUCACUCAUUGUUGCUUUCUACACCGAUUGAACAUUGUGUUGCGAAGGGGUGAGUCACACUUUGGAAAACUUCGCCACAUAGG
rnacentral:rRNA from 1 species